GUACGGGGGGAGCAAGCGUUUGUUCGGAUUUACUGGGGCGUAAAGGGCGCGUAGGCGGCCACCGCAAGUCGGUUGUGAAAUCUCUGGGCUUAACCCAGAAAGGUCAACCGAUACUGCGGGGCUAGAGUGCAGAAGGGGCAACUGGAAUUCUCGGUGUAGCGGUGAAAUGCGUAGAUAUCGAGAGGAACACCUGCGGCGAAGGCGGUUGCCUGGAGCUUUGCUGACGCUGGAUGCGCGAAAGCCGUGGGGAGCGAUCCGG
rnacentral:rRNA from 1 species